rnacentral:rRNA from 1 species
UGCCUACGGGACGCAGCAGUGAGGAAUAUUGGUCAAUGGGCGCGAGCCUGAACCAGCCAAGUAGCGUGAAGGAUGACUGCCCUACGGGUUGUAAACUUCUUUUAUAAAGGAAUAAAGUGAGGCACGUGUGCCUUUUUGUAUGUACUUUAUGAAUAAGGAUCGGCUAACUCCGUGCCAGCAGCCGCGGUAAUACGGAGGAUCCGAGCGUUAUCCGGAUUUAUUGGGUUUAAAGGGUGCGUAGGCGGUCCGGAAAGUCAGCGGUAAAAGCCCGGGGCUCAACCCCGGCGAGCCGUUGAAACUGUCGG